AUGAGAGGAUUUGAGAGGAGAGGCGUCCGGCAGUACAACCGGUCCGACGAGCCGCGGAUGCGGUGGACCGAGGAGCUGCACCGGCAGUUCAUCGAAGCUGUCGAUUGCCUCGGCGGCCAGGAUGAGGCAACGCCGAAGAGAAUUCUUCAGCUGAUGGGCGCCAAGGAAGUCAGCAUAUCUCACGUCAAGAGCCAUCUCCAGAUGUACAGAUCAAGCUCUAGCAACACCACCUGCAACGGUCCACCCAAUGCGUCCGUGGAUCGCCGUGGAGGCCACCGUGUCGUUGACGAACCACGGAAUGGCCACAGGAACGGAAAUCACAUGGGGGCGGCUUCGGAGAGGAUCGACGAUGCUUCUUCUUACCCCGUGCCUUCCCAUGGCCACCGCUCGUCGACGCCGUACCAAAUACCGUCGAUCGAAGAAGUUUUCAGGAGCUGGGAGCAGAGUAGAGGGAGGCUGCCAUGGAACUCCAGCAUGUCAUCAGAGAAGGCGACCGGCUGGGCAUGUCACGCUGACAGAAGCACGCGUCAGAAGCAGCAGCAGCAGCCGGCGGCGGGGUGUGACCUGACGCUGUCGAUUGGCCGGUGGGAGGCGGAGGCGGCGAGCAGUGAUGCUGACGUCUCGAGCACGACCACGGAGGAGGCCGUCGCGCCGGCAAGGGAUCGAGGAGCCGGCGGUCACCGUCGCUCCGCCUCCGCCACCGGUCUGGACCUUGACCUGAACCUCGACCUGGCCAUCUCAUCUUCUUGUCUGUGA
rnacentral:rRNA from 1 species